ACCGCGCGCGCAGGGGCCGAGGUCACGGAGGGCAGAGCGGUAACUGUUUAACUUGGUGCGGCUCUCGCCCCGCGUCUCUCCUCGGACGGCAGGGCUCUGUAGAUUGCGUUUAGAAGGAAAGAAAGAAAGCCUGAAGCAGUCAAGAAAUAGGACCAGACCAGAUGAGCUAACUGCAAAUACUUUCAGAAAGUACUCCAUCCCCAGAUGAUCACCAUCAUGGAAAUCAGACACUGAACGGUACAGAGCUUUGAGGCAAAACAAGCGUUAAAUCAUAAAUGCAAGUGGUGGACAAGUCUGGGGUCUGCAUCGGAAAACCUCAGACCCACUGGACUGCUGCUUCAAAAGAAGUUCAGCCAGACACAGGCAAUUCAAGGCUGGCCCGGGCGCUGCCUUCCACGCGAGGAGGUUACAACCACGGACACCUCCGCGUCGGAUGCAUUGUGUGUGCCAGGCAGCACCUCAGACCCAAGGCAAUCAUCGGUUCACAGAAAACGCACCGCCCCGAGUGUCUUAUUGCUGUGAUGAAAUGGAAAUUUAAAUAAAAGGUCGAACACGUGCGUUCACUGGGAAGUAUUGACAUGGGUGUUACAUCACCGGCAGCCAAUCAGACAACUCCAGUGGUGUUUAUACUUCUACAACCACCUUCCCUGAAAAAGGAGGAAAUCCUGCCAUUUAUAACAACAAGAAUGAACAUGGAGGACAUUAUCCUAGGUGAAAUAAGCCAGACACAGAAGAAAAAAAUGCCUCAUGAUACCACUUAGAUGAGGAAUCUGGUUAGCCCCAUAGACGCAAUCAAAACACCUUUUUGCCUGCAGAGCCUGGCAGUCUUCCUCCACUCCUGCCGCCUCUCCUGCCUGGUUCCCUCCUCCCUCCACGUUUGCUUUGAUCCCCGUCUGGCCUUUGCACAAGCUGUUCCCUGUACGUAAGCUCUUCCCUCCCUUCUCCUGACUAAUCCUUUGGUCACUUCCUCAGAACAGUUUUCCCUGACCACCCACACCCCCCAACAUUCCAACAUCCUGUCGCAGGUUCGCCCAGCAUUUUUCAGUUCUCCUUCACAACACUUGUCACAACUGCAGUUUUUAAACAUAUGUAAUUCUUUGAUUGUUGCAUACUCACCCAAUAAAUUGAUAGCUUCACGAGGGCAGGGACCAUUUCUGGUUUUGCUCAACAUUGUAUUUAUUGCCAACAUCUAGAAGCAGUGACUCUGACAUAGCAGACAAUCAGUAAGGAUUUGCUGGAUGAAUCAAUAUAUGAAUGCGCAAGUUUACAAGCACUAGGAACACACAACCUUGAGCUUUCAACAAAAGAGUAAAAUAAAACAUAGUUCAGAAUUUUACUGAAUAAACUAGUAGAGCAGAAAUAUGUUGUGGAAGGUUUCAAGUGUUGAUAAUUACAUGUUAUUCAAUGUAAGGUAUUGCCAUCGAGUAUGCAGUCAUGGGAAGGUUGUUUUGAAAUUUAUUUUAAAUUAAAGCUGGUGAAUAAAAUUAAAAUUAUUAGCUUAUUAAAAAGAUAGACAAACAUUACUUAAUCUGUGAAGUUAUGCUUUUAAUUAAAAGUUUUUAAUUCCAAAUUUAAUAAUAGCUAACCAUUUUGUGAUUUCAGUUUCUCUAUAUUCUGAUAAAUUGCAAAUAGGAGUUAGCUUACUGUAUCCUCAGAGAGAUGAAGUACAAAGUCCACUGCCUUCUUUGUAUGUAUGUUACAUACAAAUCUAUUCUUUUUACAGUAUGAAUUCUUAUUUAGGCUGCAAAGAAUGAGAACAAUGGAAUUUCCAAGGGCUAUGUGAGCUCAUAGACAGUUUUUAAGAGAAUUAGUUGUCAGACUUCCAACUGCCUUCUAUACUCUUUUCCCCAAAACGGAACUGCUGCUCUUCUCAAGCUGGUUUUCCUUUCCCACCUCCCCUUUCACAAUCCCUCUUCUCCCACCUCCCCAGAAAAGGCAAAUCUUUCACCCAUCCCUAAUCUAACUGUUCCAUUGCCCAGAUGGAAAAGGGGGCCAGAGACAGAUAGACAAAGUGAAUGCCACCAAUCACUUGGUAGCUACAUUCUGCAACUCGAAUGGUUUCCAGCUUUUGCCUUCAACAAAACUGAAGAAGGACCUAAUGGAAGUGUCACUUGGUCAUUAAAAAUAACUUUCAACGAUAGAUCACUAAGGGUUGUUUGCACAUAACUUGGAAGGAGUUUAAAGAAUUUUGUGACAUAGCUAAAACAAAACCCCCUCUGUUCUCAUCAUAUUUUUUUAUGACCAAGUGUUCUCAGCACAUAUUCUAAAGAAGAAAAGGGGGAAUACAAUGAUGACAAACCCUUUCUCACUGUAGCCAACAAAUUCUUGGCAUGUUAAUUAGUUGAAAAAACUCAGCUAACUAAGGAAUGUAUUUCCAAUAAAUGUUUGUCCUGUUUAACAUCAGUAUAUUUAUGUUGCUUUGACCAAAUGUGCACUAAUAAUUAUCAUGGUAACUUAUUUCAGGGUAUUUAUAACAUAU